ACGGACGCUGGCGGCGUGCUUAACACAUGCAAGUCGAACGGAAAGGCCCUGCUUUUGUGGGGUGCUCGAGUGGCGAACGGGUGAGUAACACGUGAGUAACCUGCCCUUGACUUUGGGAUAACUUCAGGAAACUGGGGCUAAUACCGGGUAGGAGCUCCUGCUGCAUGGUGGGGGUUGGAAAGUUUCGGCGGUUGGGGAUGGACUCGCGGCUUAUCAGCUUGUUGGUGGGGUAGUGGCUUACCAAGGCUUUGACGGGUAGCCGGCCUGAGAGGGUGACCGGCCACAUUGGGACUGAGAUACGGCCCAGACUCCUACGGGAGGCAGCAGUGGGGAAUAUUGCACAAUGGGCGGAAGCCUGAUGCAGCAACGCCGCGUGCGGGAUGACGGCCUUCGGGUUGUAAACCGCUUUCGCCUGUGACGAAGCGUGAGUGACGGUAAUGGGUAAAGAAGCACCGGCUAACUACGUG
rnacentral:rRNA from 1 species